UACGUAGGGGGCAAGCGUUGUCCGGAUUUAUUGGGCGUAAAGAGCGUGUAGGCGGCCAGACAGGUCCGUUGUGAAAACUCGAGGCUCAACCUCGAGACGCCGAUGGAAACCGUCUGGCUAGAGUCCGGAAGAGGAGAGUCGGAAUUCCCGGUGUAGCGGUGAAAUGCGCAGAUAUCGGGAAGAACACCCGUGGCUAAGGCGGCUCUCUCAGUACGGUACUGGA
rnacentral:rRNA from 1 species